CCCGUACCAUCCACGUGGCCCUGCACGAAAUGCCCACCCAUACGGCUCGUUGGCUGUACGGCCCUCUCCAAGUUGACCAGCGACCCGGGCUCCAGCUCUAUAAGAGACGUUUUCCUCAGUGUUUCCGGGGACAACCCAACUGUGAACUCUUCAUUAGUAAAACUGGUUACUGUUAAGCAGGUCCCAUUAACAGCAAUGCUGUCUCCUAGAUUCACACCUUCGAGGACGGUUUUUGCCCGUAUAUUAAGAUCGAAUCCGCCGUCCUGGGUGGUACCCAGGUGUUUGAUUUCGCCCAUUUCUUCGAUGAUGCCGGUGAAUAGGCAUCGGAUGGCAGGUGUUGAAUAAUGAGGUUUGAGUACAGGGUUUAGAGUGGUUUUUGCGGUGAAGAGAGACGGAGCGUAGGAUUUGGACGGUGGAGCGAGCUUGAAAUGAGGUUUGAUGGAGAGGAGAUUGGUGAUUCUUCUUGUUGCUGUUAUUGGGGUAAUUGAGGGGGAGACUUUUGACGUUGUGGCGAGAGAAGCGUGAGAAAAGGAGUGCGACAUUUUCCUUUUUC
rnacentral:misc_RNA from 1 species